UGGGCGGUCGCCAAGUUGGUAAGGCACCGGGUUUUGGUCCCGGCAUUCGGGGGUUCGAAUCCUCCCCGCCCAG
rnacentral:tRNA from 1 species